rnacentral:rRNA from 1 species
UACGAAGGGGGCUAGCGUUGUUCGGAAUCACUGGGCGUAAAGGGCGCGUAGGCGGCUUUAUAAGUCGGGGGUGAAAGCCUGUGGCUCAACCACAGAAUUGCCUUCGAUACUGUAUGGCUUGAGACCGGAAGAGGUUAGUGGAACUGCGAGUGUAGAGGUGAAAUUCGUAGAUAUUCGCAAGAACACCAGUGGCGAAGGCGGCUGACUGGUCCGGAUCUGACGCUGAGGCGCGAAAGCGUGGGGAGCAAACAGGG